AAGAAAGCCGAUCAAAACUAAAAUGUAGAAAGGAAGAUAUCGGUAUUCACUCCACAAUUUCAUUUUUUCUAAGUUUUGGGCAGCUAAUGAAGGUGGCCCAGUGCAAUUGAUGUAACAUGAGAGUUAAAAAUCAGAAGAUCCCCAUCACGUUGGAGAUUGGAGAUUACAGACCUUAAUGGGGACUCAACAUUUGCUGAAGGAUUUGAUGGUGGCACUCUUUUCAAUUUUCAUCUAGUCAAUCAAAUUCAUGUACGACCCCUCUCUCAAUAUGAUCCUCUCUGCCUGAAUUAAUUUAUAGUAGUAAUUUCUAUCUAUAAUUUCACUAUCUAUACAACUGAUAUACAAUAAUAUGAUUAUUACAUGAAGUUACUACAUUUACAAAAAAAAAAAAUAUCCUAAUAAUAAGUAAAAUUAAGAGCCCGUUUGGAUAGGAUUAACAUCUGAUCAAAUUAGCUUUUAAUUUAUUUGUUUAUUUUAAUUUUUUUAGUUGUUUGGUAAAAUUUAAAAGUGUUACCAAAAAGCUAAAAAAUGAUUGAAAAAACAAAAGUGAGAAGCUGGGGUAUCCUACUUUUUUGCUUUUUAGAUUAAAAAUUUUUUUAGGUUUGAUCAAAAUAUUUACUUUUUUAUCCUUUAUUUUUUUUCUCCAAUUCCAGCAAUACCCUGAACUUGUAACCUUUAAAUAUAUAAUUUUUUUCCUUUUUCUCUUUGCUACUUCUCUUCAUCUUUCUGCUUUUAUCUUUACUGAAUUCAUCAUUACAUAGGAGUAUUGCUCAAAAAUUUCAUUUUAAAAUUAAAAAUUAUAAAUAAUUCACUUUAUUUAUGGUGUUAACAACUUUGAGGAUAUUUAAGUCAUUUUAACAGCAAAAAAGUGUGUAACAUCAGUUGUUUACCAAACACAUCAAUAGCUUUUUUUUUAGUUUUCAACACUUAGAUCUAAACACUUAUCCGCUUAAUUUAUAAGCACUUAUUUUCAUCUUUUAAUCAAUUAAGCUAAAAAGCUAUUUUUUUAAUCCUAUCCAAACGGGCUCUUAAUAACAUUUGACACCAAAUUCAAAUCAAAUAGAGAUGUUAAAAAAUAAAAUAAACUGUUAAUGAGUAAUAAUAUAACUAACUAAUUAAUAUUAUUAACCUAUUUUUUCUAAUUGAUCACAAUAAAAUACAAAAAAAUGUCAAUAUUUAGUCCAUUAAAAGUGAAAAUAAACUCCUAAAAGAAAUUCCCAUGGCACUUAUAAGUUACAGUGUGUUCAACAUCGCCACAUUAUCUUGAUCAAACAUAUUUGAUUCCUUAAAAGAUUUAGUAUUUUAAUUAUUUAUAUACUUUAUAAACAUAUUUAAUAUUUAAAUAUCUAUGAUGGUCUAAACAGACUUUGAGUUUGAAUUUUUUUUUAAUUCUUAGUACUCCAUUUUAUUUUUUAAUUAUUUUUUAUUUGACCCACGAGCCAGCCUAGCCCAUAUUGCUCAAGCCCCACGGGCCAACAGGCAUUUACGGACCGAGCUAAAAAGUUUUGUUCUUAAAUAGAUUAUUAAAGGGGAAAGGACAAGAAUAGUCACUCGGCUAAAAUAAUUAUUGCCGAGUAGCCAUUGAUUUUGAAUUUUCAAAAUAUAGGCAUUUAGGUCUUUUUUGCUACUAUCUUCAUUUAUUUUUUUUGCUGCAAAUAUCACAAUUCAGUAAUCCCGUUUUAGCUAUCCUCUUAUGUAUCUAUAACGUCAUUACUCAACAGUUGAUUUGAAUCAUAAAGAUUUUAAAGUUUGCUAGCUUCAAAAUAAGUUGUGCAGUUUUAAUAAAUUUUGUAUAUGCUUGCACAAAUUUUUACAAAAUUUUAGGUGAAGUUAAUAAAUUAACGAAUAACGAAUUACUGUAUAUGCUUACACAGAUUUUCUCUGUAAAAGGUGUAUUUAUGUGGUCUACAUAUUAUAUCAACGUGGUAUAAAAGUGUAUCAAUCUAGGAUAAAAGUGUAUCAGUGCGGUAUCAAAGUGUAUCAAUAUAGUAUAAAACUGUAUCAAUAUGGUAUAAAAGUGUAUCAAUUGGGUAUAGAGACUGCAUGCAACCGACGAGUCAAAUGGCCAAAAAUCGGAAUUAAAUUGGGCCGACUGGCUCCAAUUGUUCAACUUUUAAAAUUGCUAGCCAUUUCUUUUCAAAAUGGUUAACCCAUGUCCUUUUUCCAUUAUUAAAACUAAAAAUUACACAAAUACACAACUUAUGUUUUCAAUAUUACAAAAAAUCCCAACUCCCUAAACAUAUUACAAAAAUUCCAACAUAUAUAUAGAAUGUUAUGUAUAUGUUGGUUAUGUUAUGUAUAUUAAUAGAGAGAGAGAGUAAAGUAAUUAAAAAAGUGGGAGAGAGUGUAAUUACUUCCAAAAGGGUUGGUAUUUAUGUUAUUUAUAUUUAUACUUAUUAAAAUCAUAGCUCAGCUCUAUCAAAUUACAGGCUAGAUCCAGCCGAACCAACGGGCCUGGUCAUAUCGAGGGCCCUAGAUUCAACAUUUGCUCAAGGAUUUGAUGGUGGUACUCUUUUCAUGUAAUCAAUCAGAUGCAUGUACGACCCUUUUUAUUUAUGAUCCUCGGUGUUCCAUAUCCUCUCUCAAUAUGAUCCUCUUUGCCUGAAUUAAUUUAUAGUAGUAGUUUUUAUCUAUAAUUUCACUAUAUAUCUAUAUAUAUACACACACAUUGUGUAUGAUCUGUAGUUAUUUUGAGCUUAAAAUUGUGUGCACGCAUAAUACAUUUUUAUUCUUGAAUUAUGUUAUGUAUGUAUUAGUUGAGUAGUGUGAUUUAUUUGUAAGGAAUCACACACAUUAGAUGCUAGAAUUUAAUCUAAAAAUUAAAGUUUAAAAAUAGAGAACUUAGAGAAAUUAUCAUAUGAUAUUAUUCUUUAUGUGAUAAUAUUCCGUAGCAGGUGUGUACGUGUUUAUCCGUAAAAACGAAUAUGCUGGUUGAGAUUUUCAAAUGCUUCUGUAAAUUUGGAAAAUAGAUGUUCCCUUCUGAAAUUUAAAAGAUUAACCGCAGUGCUAAAAAUAUUAACAUAUGAGCUAUUCUCUCUAGUUUAUAUUAACUUAAUUUGUGAGUCCUUUUUCAUUGUUCAUAAUAAUUUAAUUGUUCAAUCUUUAAGAGUGUUACUGAAAAUUUAUUUCAUGAAUUUAGGGUCUAUCAUGAAAUUCACUUGAAUAAAGCAUGGGGAAACUUAAAUUCAUGGCAUAAGGAAUUCAACAUCUUGCAUGGAAUCACAGGACUGAAUUGAAUUAAAAACACUAUGAAAUCAUGAAACUAAAUAUUUCUUGAACAUACAAAACUCCAUAAUAAGAAUAAAAUUUUAUUCUUUAAUUGAAAAAAGGGUUUUGGGACUCCAUGGGUGAAAGGAGCCCAUGAAUGAUCUCCCACAUACCUUAAAAGUUGGAUUUGAUGUAGAAGCUUGAAUUUUGAAUUUCUAAUGAUGUUUUUGAAGCUUCUUCUUGAAGUUCUUGAAUUAGGAAGCUUGGGUGUUCUUGCUUUUCUCAAAGAAAAUUUAAUGAAGUUCUUGGUGUUCUUGAGGGGGCUAGAGUUUUCUUGGAGAGAAAAAGAUGAAUAAUAAUGUAUCUAAUCCAUUUGGGACUGGAAUAAAUGUUAUGGACGGGUUUGGGUGAAGGACUAGACCCUUUUGGAACUGAAAUAGCGUGUGAAACAGCUCGAUAUUGUGUUGGCCAUCGUGUCGCAAUCGCGUCGGUUUACUAGCAUUAAUAAGUAUAUGAUAAUUCCUCUUUAAUAAGCUAAUUAUCCCCUUUUUAAACUUCAAUUUUUAGAUUAAUAUUAUAUUACCUUAUUAGUCUAGUAAUUAUUUUACUAGCAUUACCUUCUGCAAUGUACUUCAGUAAUGUAUGUGAUUACUUAAUUCAGCUGACAAAGCAAGUUAUUGAUCUAUUGAAACAUACAUCUUUAUUUUGUUUGUUUGUCAAUUAUUUUCACAUUUCUGAUUAAUCAAGUCAGAAGCAUGUAGUUAAUGCUUUGAGGUUAGGUAAGUUACAGAUCAAUCAUCCAAAUUACAACAUCCAAAACUAAUACGUACCAAGCACAAUUCCAGAACAAAAAUAUAUUAUGUGUUAGCAUAAUUAUUCUAAUAACUAAAUGAUGGCAUGCAGAUCAUACACACAAAGAGUAUGUCUGUAGUAUAUAUACAUGCCAGUCGCAUGGGUAGUGAAAUGAUAGAUAAAAAUUACUAUUACUAUAAAUUAAUUCAGACAGAGGGGAUCAUAUUGAGAAUAGCGACCUAGGCGUUUUACAUAUUCAAAUAGUUUUGAAAAAUUGUCAACUAGCUAGUUAAUUAGCAUGGAGAGUCAUCAUCUAUGUAUUAUAAUAUUAGUUAUAAUAGCUAUGAUUUGUAGCAAUGUUUCAAGCCAACACUAUCAAUUGAUGCAAUACGUUUUACAAUGGCCUCCAACUUAUUGCCAAAUGAAACAGUGCAAACAUGGUGCCCCAUUAAAAUUUACUAUCCAUGUUCUCUGGCCAGCUUCUACCUCAGGAAAAGCAUACAAUGCAAAUGCAGCAAUCCUAGAGUCGAAGACUUGAAAAUAGACGUUGUUGUAAGUGUUUAUCUUUUUUAGUAAUGAAGAGAAGAACAAAAUAACACACAAAAAAAUGUGCAUUGUGAGUAAAAAAGAUACACUUACAACAACGUCUACUUUCAGGCCUUCGGCUCUCAAAGGCGGAGUAAGAAUUUCAACGAAGGUGGUUUCAUAUUCAAGGAAAACUUAGGAUUUCAACUAAGGGGGUUCCAUAUUUAAAGAAAACUUAGUCGAAGGGGGUUCAACACCAACUAUAACCACAUAAAAAAUAAUUUUAGUCAUGUAUAAAUAGUAUAUUUUUUCGUCGAAGGGGAUUCGGCCGAACCCCCAAACAGAAGGCUGGCUCCGCCCCUGUCGGCUCUAGGAUUACUGCAUUUGCAUUGUAUGAUCUUCCCCGAGCUAGAAAAUGGCUAGAGGCCAUGGAUAGUAAACUAUAAUGGUGCACCAGGUUUGCACUGUUUCAUUUGGCAAUAUGUUGGAGGCCAUUCUAAAACGUAUUGCAUCAGUUGAUAGCAUUGACUUGAAACUUUGCUACAAAUCAUAGUUAUAACUAGGAUUAUAAUAAAUAGAUGACAACUCUCCAUGCCAAUUAACUAACUAGUUGACAAUUUUGUAAAGCUAUUUGAAUAUGUAAAAAGCCGAGGUCACUAUUCUCUCAAUAUAUACGAUCCCCUCUGCCUGAAUUAAUUUAUAGUAAUAG
rnacentral:lncRNA from 1 species